rnacentral:rRNA from 1 species
UGUGGAAUAUUGCACAAUGGAGGGAACUCUGAUGCAGCGACGCCGCGUGAGUGAUGAAGGACUUCGUUUCGUAAAACUCUGUUCUAUGGGAAGAAAAGGACUGUACCAUAGGAGAAAGCUCCGGCUAAAUACGUGCCAGCAGCCGCGGUAAUACGUAUGGAGCGAGCGUUGUCCGGAAUUAUUGGGCGUAAAGGGUGCGCAGGCGGCUUUACAAGUUGGAUGUGAAAUAUUGUGGCUCAACCACAAACGUGCAUCCAAAACUGCAAAGCUUGAGUUAAGGAGAGGUAAGUGGAAUUCCUGGUGUAGCGGUGGAAUGCGUAGAUAUCAGGAGGAAUACCGGUGGCGAAGGCGACUUACUGGACUUAAACUGACGCUCAGGCACGAAAGCGUGGGGAGCAAACAGG